CAAGGCAGUGGAUUGUGAAU
rnacentral:tRNA from 1 species